AGCGUACACGGUGGAUGCCCUGGCAGUCAGAGGCGAUGAAGGACGUGCUAAUCUGCGAUAAGCGUCGGUAAGGUGAUAUGAACCGUUAUAACCGGCGAUUUCCGAAUGGGGAAACCCAGUGUGAUUCGUCACACUAUCAUUAACUGAAUCCAUAGGUUAAUGAGGCGAACCGGGGGAACUGAAACAUCUAAGUACCCCGAGGAAAAGAAAUCAACCGAGAUUCCCCCAGUAGCGGCGAGCGAACGGGGAGCAGCCCAGAGCCUGAAUCAGUGUGUGUGUUAGUGGAAGCGUCUGGAAAGGCGCGCGAUACAGGGUGACAGCCCCGUACACAAAAAUGCACAUACUGUGAGCUCGAUGAGUAGGGCGGGACACGUGGUAUCCUGUCUGAAUAUGGGGGGACCAUCCUCCAAGGCUAAAUACUCCUGACUGACCGAUAGUGAACCAGUACCGUGAGGGAAAGGCGAAAAGAACCCCGGCGAGGGGAGUGAAAAAGAACCUGAAACCGUGUACGUACAAGCAGUGGGAGCACGCUUAGGCGUGUGACUGCGUACCUUUUGUAUAAUGGGUCAGCGACUUAUAUUCUGUAGCAAGGUUAACCGAAUAGGGGAGCCGAAGGGAAACCGAGUCUUAACUGGGCGUUAAGUUGCAGGGUAUAGACCCGAAACCCGGUGAUCUAGCCAUGGGCAGGUUGAAGGUUGGGUAACACUAACUGGAGGACCGAACCGACUAAUGUUGAAAAAUUAGCGGAUGACUUGUGGCUGGGGGUGAAAGGCCAAUCAAACCGGGAGAUAGCUGGUUCUCCCCGAAAGCUAUUUAGGUAGCGCCUCGUGAAUUCAUCUCCGGGGGUAGAGCACUGUUUCGGCAAGGGGGUCAUCCCGACUUACCAACCCGAUGCAAACUGCGAAUACCGGAGAAUGUUAUCACGGGAGACACACGGCGGGUGCUAACGUCCGUCGUGAAGAGGGAAACAACCCAGACCGCCAGCUAAGGUCCCAAAGUCAUGGUUAAGUGGGAAACGAUGUGGGAAGGCCCAGACAGCCAGGAUGUUGGCUUAGAAGCAGCCAUCAUUUAAAGAAAGCGUAAUAGCUCACUGGUCGAGUCGGCCUGCGCGGAAGAUGUAACGGGGCUAAACCAUGCACCGAAGCUGCGGCAGCGACGCUUAUGCGUUGUUGGGUAGGGGAGCGUUCUGUAAGCCUGCGAAGGUGUGCUGUGAGGCAUGCUGGAGGUAUCAGAAGUGCGAAUGCUGACAUAAGUAACGAUAAAGCGGGUGAAAAGCCCGCUCGCCGGAAGACCAAGGGUUCCUGUCCAACGUUAAUCGGGGCAGGGUGAGUCGACCCCUAAGGCGAGGCCGAAAGGCGUAGUCGAUGGGAAACAGGUUAAUAUUCCUGUACUUGGUGUUACUGCGAAGGGGGGACGGAGAAGGCUAUGUUGGCCGGGCGACGGUUGUCCCGGUUUAAGCGUGUAGGCUGGUUUUCCAGGCAAAUCCGGAAAAUCAAGGCUGAGGCGUGAUGACGAGGCACUACGGUGCUGAAGCAACAAAUGCCCUGCUUCCAGGAAAAGCCUCUAAGCAUCAGGUAACAUCAAAUCGUACCCCAAACCGACACAGGUGGUCAGGUAGAGAAUACCAAGGCGCUUGAGAGAACUCGGGUGAAGGAACUAGGCAAAAUGGUGCCGUAACUUCGGGAGAAGGCACGCUGAUAUGUAGGUGAAGUCCCUCGCGGAUGGAGCUGAAAUCAGUCGAAGAUACCAGCUGGCUGCAACUGUUUAUUAAAAACACAGCACUGUGCAAACACGAAAGUGGACGUAUACGGUGUGACGCCUGCCCGGUGCCGGAAGGUUAAUUGAUGGGGUCAGCGCAAGCGAAGCUCUUGAUCGAAGCCCCGGUAAACGGCGGCCGUAACUAUAACGGUCCUAAGGUAGCGAAAUUCCUUGUCGGGUAAGUUCCGACCUGCACGAAUGGCGUAAUGAUGGCCAGGCUGUCUCCACCCGAGACUCAGUGAAAUUGAACUCGCUGUGAAGAUGCAGUGUACCCGCGGCAAGACGGAAAGACCCCGUGAACCUUUACUAUAGCUUGACACUGAACAUUGAGCCUUGAUGUGUAGGAUAGGUGGGAGGCUUUGAAGUGUGGACGCCAGUCUGCAUGGAGCCGACCUUGAAAUACCACCCUUUAAUGUUUGAUGUUCUAACGUUGACCCGUGAUCCGGGUUGCGGACAGUGUCUGGUGGGUAGUUUGACUGGGGCGGUCUCCUCCUAAAGAGUAACGGAGGAGCACGAAGGUUGGCUAAUCCUGGUCGGACAUCAGGAGGUUAGUGCAAUGGCAUAAGCCAGCUUGACUGCGAGCGUGACGGCGCGAGCAGGUGCGAAAGCAGGUCAUAGUGAUCCGGUGGUUCUGAAUGGAAGGGCCAUCGCUCAACGGAUAAAAGGUACUCCGGGGAUAACAGGCUGAUACCGCCCAAGAGUUCAUAUCGACGGCGGUGUUUGGCACCUCGAUGUCGGCUCAUCACAUCCUGGGGCUGAAGUAGGUCCCAAGGGUAUGGCUGUUCGCCAUUUAAAGUGGUACGCGAGCUGGGUUUAGAACGUCGUGAGACAGUUCGGUCCCUAUCUGCCGUGGGCGCUGGAGAACUGAGGGGGGCUGCUCCUAGUACGAGAGGACCGGAGUGGACGCAUCACUGGUGUUCGGGUUGUCAUGCCAAUGGCACUGCCCGGUAGCUAAAUGCGGAAGAGAUAAGUGCUGAAAGCAUCUAAGCACGAAACUUGCCCCGAGAUGAGUUCUCCCUGACUCCUUGA
rnacentral:rRNA from 1 species